UUUUUAUUUUAUAAAUUAGCAAGAAAAUAAUCGAAACAUUUUUUGCUUUGUCAUUAUGGGAUAUUGUGUGUAGAUUGUUACGGGGGAAAAACAUGUAAAUAAAUGUUAGAAUACGUCUGUAAUGUAACAAAACACGGAAAAGGUCUAGGUGUCUGAAUACUCUCCGAAGGCGCUGUAGAUUAGUAGAAGGUGCAUUUCUUAAUUCUGACCUUGAAACCUCUUGAAUUGUAUCAUUGAGUUCAUUUGAGUACUAGUCUUCCAAGUUAAAGGAGUAUACAAAUGUGAUGACGUUGUUCGGGAUAACAGUGAUAAGAUGUUGACAUGAAAAACAUUCACCAGCACAUGAAUGUUCACAUCAGUAUUAUUCCACCAUGUCAGAGAACUAAAAUAAUUUUCAUUAAUGCAACAUAUCUGAUAAAUGAAAUUAAUUUUUGUGACAGUGUUAGCCAUUAUUUUUUUUAACUGUGUUCGUGGAUGUUCAUUAUAUACAUAUAUAUGUACUGUUACUGGACUCCAUAAAAACACCAUACAGCUACGACUGGAAGUCACUUUUUCAUAGCAGGGGCCUCAUUUAUAUAUUUUUUUAAAUCUUAGAUUUAUACAUGAACUUAGUCGUAAGAUCAUUUCCCGAUGCUGUGCUUACGUUCGAUUCAUAAAAGAUACUGAGCAUAAGAAAACGUUGCUUAUGCAGGUUCUAAGAAGCCCAUUUGUAACUUUACGCGCCUGUGAUCUAUAAAUCUCAAAUUAACUUAGAAUUGGUGGCACCUGAACGUGCCUUACGAAUCAGCGAUUUCCCCGUAUAGAAUGCGGGUUUAGUAUUGGUAACUUAACGCACCUGUGAUCUAUAAAUCUCAAAUUAACUUAGAAUUGGUGGCACCUGAACGUGCCUUACAAAUCAGCGAUUUCCCCGUAGAGAAUGCGGGUUUAGUAUUGGUAACUUAACGCACCUGUGAUCUAUAAAUCUCAAAUUAACUUAGAAUUGGUGGCACCUGAACGUGCCUUACAAAUCAGCGAUUUCCCCGUAUAGAAUGCGGGUUUAGUAUUGGUAACUUAACGCACCUGUGAUCUAUAAAUCUCAAAUUAACUUAGAAUUGGUGGCACCUGAACGUGCCUUACAAAUCAGCGAUUUCCCCGUAGAGAAUGCGGGUUUAGUAUUGGUAACUUAACGCACCUGUGAUCUAUAAAUCUCAAAUUAACUUAGAAUUGGUGGCACCUGAACGUGCCUUUACAAAUCAGCGAUUUCCCCGUAGAGAAUGCUAGUACAAAUUGUGGUUUAGUCAGGAAUAGCCCAAAAAGGACCAAAAGAGAAAAGCAAACUUUUUUGUAAGACGAGAUCACAGCGAUGGUAGAAGAUAUUGAAAACAGGAAACACGUAUUAUUACGUGGACUCAGGGGCGCCGCCAGGGAUUUUGGGCCCCAUGAAAAGAUAUCACAUUGGGACCCCCACCACCACAGGCCACGCCAACCAUGCGCAUUAGCUGUAACCACACACCUCCAGAACCCAAUCGACCCAAAGCUUUAAAUAUCUCUACCUGGUGGUGGCGCUAGAAGAGGUCAAGUGGUCACCAAAUCAAUAGGUUUCUUCCACGUGGGGACUUGAUUGUGCACGGAAACGGUGACGUCUGUGCAUGAAACCCCCACACGACUGGAUCACACUAGUGCGCCUUCCACCCAGGGAUAAAGUGCGUGAGGCUCUCAAAUCAGCAGGUGCAAGGAGUGAGGGGGCCACAGGUGUCGAGGGUCCGUCCAUGUCUGCAUCCCUGCGCAGGGAUGAAGUUCGUGAGGCUCCGGUUCCCAAGCGUUGCAGACCCACGGGUGCCAGGAGUGAGGGGGAAUGUUUGGCCACAGGUGUCGAGGGUCCAUUCACGUCUGCGUCCACGUCUACAAUUCGCGUGUUGACCGCCUCGGUCCUGCAAACCCAGAACGAGUUGAAUACAUUGGUAUGGGCAGAUUGUGGACUGAACUUGGAAGAAUACGCAGGGGUUUUGUUUAAUUUACAUAAUGCAAUUGUUGAACGUUUUCCACAACGUGAAUAAAAACAACUAUGCUUUA